rnacentral:rRNA from 1 species
GGGAAAUACUUAUAAUGGUUAUUGAAUAUAAAAAGUUAUAAGAAAUAACUUUAAGUGUGUUAUAGUAUAGGAAUAGAAUAAAUUGAUUAAUUUAUAGUGAAUUAGUAUUGUGAAAGAAGGUUGAAAUAUUUUUGAAAAAUUAUUUGGAAAGAAGUAGAUAAUUAUUGUACCUUGUGUAUCAGGGUUUAUUAAAAAUGAGGUAAGGAUUUUAUUUAUCCCGAAUUGAGAAGAGCUAGUUUAUUAUAUUAGUUAAUGUAUUAUUAUUAUUAAUAAUAAUAAACUUGUAAUGAAAUGUUAAACGUUUUUCAGGAUAUCUGGUUUUCUAAGAAAUGAAUUUAAUUCAGCAAUUUUCAGUAGUAAUUAGUAAUUUGAAUUACAAAUUAUGGGUUAAUUGUAAUAUUUAAAGGGAUAAGCUUUUAAAUAGUGUUUAUAAUUUAUUUUUUAUAUUAAGAAUUGUAGGCUUUAAAUUAGCUAUCAAUUAAAUAAUGUUAUAAAUUAUUUAAUAUUAAUAUGAUUUUAUAAAGAAGUUUAAAUUUUGUAUUGGAAUAAUUUAUUGAAUUUUAAGAUAUUUGUAAUAAUGAUAAAAUUAGUAUAUUUGUGAUGUAUUUAGUUUUAGUAUGAUAUAAUUUAUAUAAAGGAACUAGGCAAUUUUAAUGUUCGCCUGUUUAUCAAAAACAUGUCUUUUUGUGAUAAAUUUAAGGUUGGGCCUGCCCCCUGAAAUUGUUUAAAGGGCCGCGGUAUUUUGACCGUGCAAAGGUAGCAUAAUCAUUAGUCUUUUAAUUGAGGGCUAGAAUGAAUGGUUUGACGAAACAUUAACUGUCUCUAUAUGAAUAAUGGAAUUUAACUUUUGAGUUAAAAGGCUUAAAUGUACAUAAAAGACGAGAAGACCCUAUAGAGCUUUAUAUUUUUUAUUUAAUUAUUCUGUUUAGUUGUUUUAAUUAUAGUUGAAUAAAAGUAUUUUGUUGGGGUGACGUGAAGAUUAAAGGAACUCUUUAUUUGAUAUAACAUUGAUUUAUGAAUAAUUGAUCCAUUAUUAGUGAUUAUAAGAUAAAGUUACCUUAGGGAUAACAGCGUAAUCUUUUUUGAGAGUUCAUAUCGACAAGAAGGGUUGCGACCUCGAUGUUGGAUUAAGGAAUAUGAUUAGGUGAAGAAGUUUAAUUAAUAAGUCUGUUCGACUUUUAAAUCCUUACAUGAUCUGAGUUCAGACCGGCGUGAGCCAGGUCGGUUUCUAUCUUUAUGAAGAUAAAAUGUUUUAGUACGAAAGGACCAAACAUUAGAAAAAUUUUCUGAAAGAUGAUAAAGAUUAAUUU